UUUGCAGAGACGGACUGACCCGUUGUUGGUCUGUCUAGAUGUAAACAACAUGGCUGUUGUCUCAUUAGUUACAGAUCUUCACACACUGUGCACUAAACGUUUAGCAUUAACAUGAUGAUCCUCUGGCAGAUUCUGGAUCAGCGUCUUCUGUCUGCGCUUUCUUCGUGGGUUUUAUUUGCAGUGGACAUCUGAGACGUGAGAUCCUCGGACAUGGAGCCAUCAGAGACCACAGUCCUCCCAACCUGACCCUGAGCCAGGGCGUGUGUCCUUCAGGUUUAAGAUGGACUCCCCUCUCCUGAUCUCAGGUCAAAAACUGGUUGUUCCUCUUCUCCUCCGGAUGGUCACUCGGGGCUGAGGCUGCUGGAGACCAGCCCUUCACGCUCCACGCCACGACUACAUCAACACCAUAAUUGACCACUUCACCUGGACGCCAGCCUGCAUCACCACCCACACCCCGCCCUUUGCUCACACACCAAAGAUGGCGCACAGGGAACACUAAGCUAACUUAAAGGUACAGUAUGGAGCUUUUUUCCAAAUAUUUUGGUUGUACAAAUCUGCUCCAAGCCUCCUGUCACCCAGACUCAUUGAGCCACAUUAGCUUCUAAAAGCUUUUCAGCACGAUUGACAUUUUCACUUAUUUCUGUUUCAUCACUAAGUUUUCUUCUGAUUUCAUAACAACAAAUAUUUGAAGACCUGGGCACAGCUGGGCAGGGUGUGUGGGAGCGUAGCAGAGCAGGGACACAGACUGCUGUAGCUUUAAGCUAACUUAACCUAACUAACCGUGCAUGUACAUCUGUUGUCAGUUUGUGACCCAGCUCAUUGUUUGGCUGUGCUUUACCCCUCAUCUUGUAUUGCUCAGCUUAAACUCACAUCAGUGUUCCUAAGUCAGCAGAGAUUUGCUGACUUAGGAACACAACUCAAUUUAAGGCCUUACUUAUUGUCUACAAGUGUCUCAGUGGUCUGACCACUCAUGUCUCCUAAUUUACUACACAAGCAAAAAUACUUUUAAGUGCUGCUCAACAAUCUCAUGUGAGCCAUGCUAACUUUGUGCAACUAAACUAUUCAUCUACUUUGUUGAGUGCACAACCUUAGGAGAGAACAGCAUAUAGACUUUCCCCGCUUGCACCAGGUCCAUCUCCAGCUUCGAUCAGACCCCACAACAACAGACAGGAUUCGACCCCAGGCAGACCGCAUCAUAGCUUCACAGCUGCGUAGAACCCCACCGCGCCACUGAGAGCCCUUCACGUUUCAACAUGCUCUCGGUGCACUUUUGACCCUACAAUUUGGAUGGUAGGCUUCAAAAUUCAUUUUUGUCAGGGCAGGACUUGAACCAGUGAGCUCCCAACUUCUGAGCUAUCUGCUCUGACAACCUUGCUAUCUUUCUCAGUGUUUUUUAGUCCCAACUUUGGUCAAUGGACUUCAAAUUUCACUCAGUCUUAUGAAGACUGACCCUGAAUCCACAGGACAACCAAGCAGUCCAGUUUUUCUCUGCCCUUUUCAGUCUUUAUUUAGACAUUAGUCUUCCCCUGAGCCAGCAGUCUUCUAACACCCAGAGCUUUCUGCUCGGACAAACAGACAUUUAUCUGACAGGACCUUUUACUAUUGAGAUACUCUGUGUUUUUUUUUUUGGCUUGACCUUCAUUUUUAGCACUUUUUUAUACUUUAUUAUAGCAAAAACCUGUUAUUAAUCUUCACAUUUACUGCCUUUUGUCAGCCAUCUGUAAAGCACUUUGCCCUGCAUUAAUCAGUAUGAACAAUGCUAUACAAAUAAA